rnacentral:rRNA from 2 species
UGCAGUCGAGCGAGUGUAGCCUUUCGGGGUACACGAGCGGCGAACGGGUGAGUAACACGUGGGUGAUCUGCCCUGCACUCUGGGAUAAGCCUGGGAAACUGGGUCUAAUACUGGAUAUGACCUCAGCAUGCAUGUGCUGGGGUGGAAAGCUUUUGUGGUGCAGGAUGGGCCCGCGGCCUAUCAGCUUGUUGGUGGGGUAAUGGCCUACCAAGGCGACGACGGGUAGCCGACCUGAGAGGGUGACCGGCCACACUGGGACUGAGACACGGCCCAGACUCCUACGGGAGGCAGCAGUGGGGAAUAUUGCACAAUGGGCGGAAGCCUGAUGCAGCGACGCCGCGUGAGGGAUGAAGGCCUUCGGGUUGUAAACCUCUUUCAGCAGGGACGAAGCGUGAGUGACGGUACCUGCAGAAGAAGCACCGGCUAACUACGUGCCAGCAGCCGCGGUAAUACGUAGGGUGCGAGCGUUGUCCGGAAUUACUGGGCGUAAAGAGUUCGUAGGCGGUUUGUCGCGUCGUUUGUGAAAACCCGGGGCUCAACUUCGGGCUUGCAGGCGAUACGGGCAGACUUGAGUGUUUCAGGGGAGACUGGAAUUCCUGGUGUAGCGGUGAAAUGCGCAGAUAUCAGGAGGAACACCGGUGGCGAAGGCGGGUCUCUGGGAAACAACUGACGCUGAGGAACGAAAGCGUGGGUAGCAAACAGGAUUAGAUACCCUGGUAGUCCACGCCGUAAACGGUGGGCGCUAGGUGUG